rnacentral:rRNA from 1 species
AUUGAACGCUGGCGGCAUGCCUUACACAUGCAAGUCGAACGGCAGCACGGGUGCUUGCACCUGGUGGCGAGUGGCGAACGGGUGAGUAAUACAUCGGAACAUGUCCUGUAGGGGGGGAUAGCCCGGCGAAAGCCGGAUUAAUACCGCAUACGAUCUACGGAUGAAAGCGGGGGACCUUCGGGCCUCGCGCUAUAGGGUUGGCCGCUGGGUGGUUAGCUAGUGUGUGGGGUAAAGGCCUACCAAGGCGACGCUCAGUAGCUGGUCUGAGAGGACCACCAGCCAAACUGGGAAUGAGACAUGGCCCAGACUCCUACGGGGGGGAGGCGUGGGGAAUUUUGGACAAUGGGCGAAAGCCUGAUCCAGCAAUGCCGGGUGUGUGAAGGAGGCCUUCGGGUUGUAAAGCACUUUUGUCCGGAAAGAAAUCCUUGGCCCUAAUACGGUCGGGGGAUGACGGUACCGGAAGAAUAAGCACCGGGUAACUACGUG